rnacentral:lncRNA from 1 species
CAUGAUCUUCCUCGCCCUGUACAGCCUCAGCCACACCAGGUACCUCACCACCUCCAUCCUCCCCGUCACCUGUUGCAUUGCCACCAUGAUUGUUGAAGCUCUCAGCCAUGGCGGAUCAUGACAUGUUCUCGCCUUCUCGUGUAUCUGUCUCAAAUGCUACCUUGUAGAUGGCGUCCCAGGGGAAGCAGCCGAGCACGUCGAGAGCGAAGCUGCCUUUGAUGUAGCUGAGAGAAAAAAAAACACAGUCCUGAUCAACGGUGAUCUCUGCCUGCUACAUCUUUGAUCGGUUCUUGGUAUCAUUUCGUUUUUGGUGUUUGAGCUGAGCUGUUGUUCUCACCGGAGCGCGAUCAGGCGCUUGUCGUAGACCAUCCUGUAGGUGUGGGAGUCCC